CCAUUAUCAUCAAGAUGGGAGCAUGGUAGCAUCCAGGCAGGCAUGGUGCAGGAGAAGCUGAGCGAUCUACGUCUUCAUCUGAAAGGGGCUAGGACAAGACUGGCUCCCAAGGGGUUAUGAAGAAAUCUCUUAAUUACAGUGAAGCAGCAAUCAAAAACAGAAAAGAGGACUGGCUCAUUCUUAACAAGAAUCUCAAAUGUACUGGGAACACUCUCAACUGGUAAAAUUCUAUCAAAUGUCAAAGGGAUAUAACCAGAAAAAUGAAGCAAUAUUUCAUGCAGAAAAUUUGCAAAAGAAGUGAAACUGAUUCCAAAGCCAAUGGAAACAUUUGGCUUUUAUGUGCUACAAUGAGAACAAACUGCUCUGCUCUUGUUAGCUUAAAGUUUUCAUUAAUCUGUAACUCUCAAAUUUUAUUUUGACUUCAUUUCUGCACAAACCUACGUGUUAAGUUUUAAAGUUAAACAACACAAUUCAAAUGAUUGCAGCUUUCUAUGAGUUUACUUUGUAUAAAUGCUUUUGAAUGUACUUGUGAAUGUUAGAAAUCUACUUUGAAAUAGGUCAUUACUAUGUAAAAGUGCAUAAUAUGUGCAUAUGUACACUGAUGUUUUCCCCUAUUUAUCCAUAUUGUUGUUAUUCAAGAGGAUCAGGAGGAGGUCAGUAUUUGAAGUAUGUACAAAGGUACCAGAGACACAGGAGAAAAAUACUUUA
rnacentral:lncRNA from 1 species